GUUCUUUAUAUAAAAGUUCAAAAAAUUUGAAAAAAUAUAUAUCUUUGAUUAGUACUUUUGUAUAAUCUUUCAUUUUUUAUGGAAAAGUUUUUUAAGAAAAAAAAAACAAUGUGGAAGCACACAAUUCGACCAGUUCUACAACGUUCGAGGUCUUCCAACUUUUUCUUAAUACAGUAGUAGUACCAUAAUUUUUUUCACAAUGAUACUGAUUGUUUAUGUAUAAUUUGAAUCGCAUUUAAACAUUAAAAAAAAAAACAAAAAAACAAAACUGGAUUAUACUGUUGAUUUGGUUCCCCCCCCACUUCAAAUCAUUGGUGUUGUGGCUCUGAAC
rnacentral:lncRNA from 1 species